AGGACGAACGCUGGCGGCGUGCUUAACACAUGCAAGUCGAGCGGAAAGGCCCUUCGGGGUACUCGAGCGGCGAACGGGUGAGUAACACGUGAGUAACCUGCCCCUAGCUCUGGGAUAGCUCCGGGAAACCGGGAUUAAUACCAGAUACGACCACUUUAGACAUCUGUCGUGGUGGAAAGGAUUCCGGCUAGGGAUGGGCUCGCGGCCUAUCAGCUUGUUGGUGGGGUAACGGCCUACCAAGGCGACGACGGGUAGCCGGCCUGAGAGGGCGACCGGCCGACGACUGGGACUGAGACACGGCCCAGACUCCUACGGGAGGCAGCAGUGGGAAUAUUGCGCAAUGGGCGAAAGCCUGACGCAGCGACGCCGCGUGGGGAUGAAGGCCUUCGGGUUGUAAACCCCUUUCAGCAGGGACGAAGCGAAGUGACGGUACUGCAGAAGAAGCGCCGGCUAACUACGUGCCAGCAGCCGC
rnacentral:rRNA from 1 species